AGCUCUUAGUGUGAAUUUGGAUGUUGCUGCAGUUAAAAAGCUCAUAGCCAAUUUUACAGGCAUGAAGUCUUUGUAUACUUGAUCAUGCAAAUGAGAGAGUUGCAGAGUUCUUAAAGCAAGAAAAAACUUUAGAGACCCUAGGUUGGUGUAAAAGCUGGCUUAGGACUGGGGGUCUUUACGCAGAUCUCUGGUUUUCUGAAGUGAUAUAACUUUGAAUAAAUUAGAGUGUUCAAAACAAGCUUUUUAGCUUUGAAUAUAUUAGCAUGGUAUUAUAGAAUAUGACGAAUUCAGGUCAUAUAAAGUUCUGGGGGCCGCAAGGCCUCAAAGAAUCUGGAUUUGUAAUGAAAGAAAAAAAUAGAAUGAGUGACCUGUACUCUUAGGGGAAAGGUGAAAUUUUAUGAUCCUGAGAUGACAAACUGAUGCGAAAGCUCUCCACUGAGAUGUUUGU
rnacentral:rRNA from 1 species